CUCCAGGAGGAGCGCAACUGGCCACGAUCCAGGAAGCACGUGCGCCAACCCGAUUCUUUCUGUCGUCGUAUUGCUGUCCUUCCUGCCUGCUAACGGAGAAGAGUAGCAGAGAGAAGAAGAAGAAGCCGAAGAGGGUGAAGGUGCUCGGGGCGUAGAUUAUCCGCGGGCCGACAGUCGACUCGGAAAUUACUCGUUUUCGAGGCGACGGGGGUUUCGAAUUCAAAGGCGGCCACCUUUCUUAUUUGUUUAUUCCAGGGUGCCGGUUGUUGGCCGGUUGGGUCAGCGCCAAACGGCCCGGUAUUGCUUCAUAAAUCCUCCUCCCUGCAAGAAGGAGGCCGUGCAUCAUCCAAGUGUCGCGGAUUGUAUAUAUGGUGUACACCAAUAAUCGUGUCUCACUCACGCCGAUUUAUAGCAGCGCAAUUUAUUCGCGAAUUCGCGUCGAGAUGGAUGAAUGGAGUCGCGGCUUAAGCGGAUCCACGGAGGGGGCGGGGGUUAAACUGCGCAAUACCCGCUUUACGACGUGGCAGUCCUGAUUUCGCGACCCAGUCAAUAUUGCAUGGUCUAUAAAACUGGAGGAAUCGAGAGAGAGGGGGUUAAAUGGAAGAAUACAUGUGGAUGCGUGAAAUUUACAAAGCGAACGUGAAAAUUGCGAGGGAAGGAAGGGGGCCGGAUUUUUGUACAGUGGAAAUUAUUUUAUUUACGGACUGGUGGAGAAUUAUCUGACACGAAGUGACGAGACCUGUUCUUAUGAGAACUUUUGGUUGGUUUAAGUUGGAUUUGGAUUACAUUUAGAGCGAAUGGAAACACGAGGGAUGAAAACGUGAGACUUGGGAAAGGGUAAACUUUUUCAUGGAAAGAUUAUUUUCUAAAGCAAUUUUUUGAUUAACCUUCUGAAAGAUGUAACCAAUUCGGGUUGGGCAAAUCGACUAACAACAAAUCGUAAAAAUUGCCCCAAAACAGAAAUUAUUCUCUAAAGGAUUAAGUGAAAAAUUCCUUUAAAAAAGAAAAAAAAUAACAAAUUUCCUAAAUUUCACAAAAAAAAAAUCUCAACGAAUAACCUAACUCUCGUGACAAUCGAUAUUUUUCAAUUUCGAAAUAUUGCCAAAAACCAAAUAACAUAGACUUGACACUACGGAAUUUGUCCACAAAAAUAUAGUUAGUUAGAAUUUUAAAAUUGCCUCUCUCUCUCUCUCUAUAUAUAUAUAUAUAAAAAAGAAAGAAAAAUAAAACAAAAAAAAUUCUAAAACAA